rnacentral:rRNA from 1 species
UACGAAGGGGGCUAGCGUUGUUCGGAAUCACUGGGCGUAAAGGGCGCGUAGGCGGCUUUGUAAGUCGGGGGUGAAAGCCUGUGGCUCAACCACAGAAUUGCCUUCGAUACUGCAUGGCUUGAGACCGGAAGAGGUAAGUGGAACUGCGAGUGUAGAGGUGAAAUUCGUAGAUAUCGGGAGGAACACCUGAGGCGAAGGCGGGCUACUGGGCCGAUACUGACGCU